UUCAAAAAUAUUUUUUCUAACAACAUUCUCAACAAUGCAUCAUACACAUAAUUCAUAAAUAACGUUUGUAUUAAACCAACUUAACAGAGGGUAGUUUUGGAUUCUAGAAACCUAAGAAUUUGAUGAUGGAGCUCCUUACGUAAUCUUCACUCUCAGUGAUUUAUUGUAUAAAUAUCAAUUUAAGAGAAUAUAAAUAUCAAUUUAAGAGAAUAACUUACUCAAAUCAUUAAGUAAUCCAAGACUAUUAUAUACUCGUAUUUUGAGUUUGGAUUACAAAAAAAA
rnacentral:sRNA from 1 species